GUGAACUGGACACCUCUUGGUAGAGGUAGGGUACUAUUUAAUCUCUACUGGGGGGAGGCAGUCUGGGUCAUUUUGGUAUGAGAGAUUGACAAAAUAUAGUGGUUGUUUGUUUUAGUUAGGUGUUUCCUCUUAAGACAUGACUGAAACCGUAAAAGGCUAUGUAGGCUGUGGAUUUGAUUAUCAGAUUAGUGACAUGCUCAAAGAGGGUCUCGUCUAGUAGAUCGGAGAUGUUCCUAAAUAGGUUACUAUC